GGACUUGCUAGGAAACAGGAAGUAAAUGGAGUGUCUUGUGGAGAUGCCUUCUAGGGAGAGCUGACUGCCAGCCAAAAAAUCCAUCCAGCUACAAAAGCAGCUGUUUCAGCCCAAAGAAUUUUUUGGUUGCAGCUGGCUGUGCUGUGCCCUGCAUCAGCCUCCAGAGAGCCUGUAUCACAGGGCAGGAGACCUUUCAGCUGGAGAAGUCAGCCACUGUUCAAGCUUGACCCAGAUUCUGAGGCUUUCAUCUGGAGAGCUUCCUCACUGAUUUUCAGCCUUGGCUGUGUGAAUUUGUCUCCAGACCAUUCUGGAAAUGUAAGAGCUGGGGAAUCAUCUGGCUCUUGCUGGAAGCAAGAGCACCCACUGGGAGCUGUUCUACCAGGUGGGAGAGAAUGGUCAUGGUCAGAUUAACCCUGAGCUCAGCUGAGGCCCAGAGCAGUAGGAACCUUGCUGCAUUCACAGUCUGGGCCUGGGAGAACUGCAAGGGGCAUGGAUGUUUCUGAAGGAUGUAGAACAGACUGAUCUAGUGACUGGA